AAUGAACGUUGGCGGCGUGGAUUAGGCAUGCAAGUCGCGCGAGAAGUUUCCUUCGGGAGACGGACAGCGGCGGAAGGGAGAGGAAUAAGUAGAAAUCUGCCCUCGGGACGGGGAUAGCGGCGGGAAACUGCCGGUAAUACCCGAUAACAUCUUUGGAUCAAAUGGUGUGAUUCCGCCUGAGGAUGAGUCUACUUCCUAUUAGCUAGUUGGUGUGGUAAUGGCUCACCAAGGCAACGAUGGGUAGCGGGUGUGAGAGCACGAUCCGCCUCACUGGGACUGAGACACUGCCCAGACACCUACGGGUGGCUGCAGUCGAGAAUCUUCGGCAAUGGGGGAAACCCUGACCGAGCGACGCCGCGUGCGGGGUGAAGGCCCUCGGGUUGUAAACCGCUGUCGUAAGGGAACAAAUCUAAGAGGGUACUCCCUUUUAGUUGAGUGAUCUUAGGAGGAAGGACGGGCUAAGUUCGUG
rnacentral:rRNA from 1 species